CCUACGGGUGGCUGCAGUGAGGAAUAUUGGUCAAUGGACGAGAGUCUGAACCAGCCAAGUAGCGUGAAGGAUGACUGCCCUAUGGGUUGUAAACUUCUUUUAUAUGGGAAUAAAACAUGGUAUUCAUACCCUCUUGUAUGUACCAUAUGAAUAAGGAUCGGCUAACUCCGUGCCAGCAGCCGCGGUAAUACGGAGGAUCCGAGCGUUAUCCGGAUUGAUUGGGUUUAAAGGGAACGUAGGUGGAUUGUUAAGUCAGUUGUGAAAGUUUGCGGCUCAACCGUAAAAUUGCAGUUGAAACUGGCAGUCGUGAGUACAGUAGAGGUGGGCGGAAUUCGUGGUGUAGCGGUGAAAUGCUUAGAUA
rnacentral:rRNA from 1 species